CUUAUACUCCCUCCGUCUAACGAAAGAUGUCUCAAAUUUGUCAAAAUUUGUAUUAUCUAAAUCUGAUUUAGUAUAUAGAUGCAUUCAAAUUUAGUCAAAGUUGAGACAUCUUUUGUUGGACGGAGGAAAUAACUU
rfam:Brachypodium distachyon strain Bd21 chromosome 2, whole genome shotgun sequence.